GAUGAAGAACGUAGUGAAAUGCGAUACGUAAUGUGAAUUGCAGAAUUCAGUGAAUCAUCGAAUCUUUGAACGCAUAUUGCGCUCUCUGGUAUUCCGGAGAGCAUGCUUGUUUGAGUAUCAGUAAACACCUCAACUUCCAUAUCUUUUUUGAAAUGGGAGUUGGACUUGAGUGAUCCCAACGCUUUUCCUCACCGAAAAGUGGCGGGUUACUUGAAAUGCAGGUGCAGCUGGACUUUUCUCUGAGCUAUAAGCAUAUCUAUUUAGUCUGCCUAAAAAACAGAUUAUUACCUUUGCUGCAGCUAACAUAAAGGAGAUUAGUUCUUGUGCUGACUGAUGCAGGAUUCACAAAGACAGGCUUCGGCCGACUUUGUAAACUCGAUCUCAAAUCAAGUAAGACUACCCGCUGAACUUAAGUAUAUCAAUAAGCGGAGGA
rnacentral:misc_RNA from 1 species